GAUGAACGCUAGCGGGAGGCCUAACACAUGCAAGCCGAGCGGUAUUGUUUCUUCGGAAAUGAGAGAGCGGCGUACGGGUGCGGAACACGUGUGCAACCUGCCUUUAUCUGGGGGAUAGCCCUUCGAAAGGAAGAUUAAUACUCCAUAACAUAUUGAUUGGCAUCAAUUAAUAUUGAAAGCUCCGGCGGAUAGAGAUGGGCACGCGCAAGAUUAGCUAGUUGGUGAGGUGACGGCUCACCAAGGCAAUGAUCUUUAGGGGGCCUGAGAGGGUGAUCCCCCACACUGGUACUGAGACACGGACCAGACUCCUACGGGAGGCAGCAGUGAGGAAUAUUGGUCAAUGGGUGCAAGCCUGAACCAGCCAUCCCGCGUGAAGGACGACUGCCCUAUGGGUUGUAAACUUCUUUUGUAUAGGGAUAAACCUACCCUCGUGAGGGUAGCUGAAGGUACUAUACGAAUAAGCACCGGCUAACUCCGUGCCAGCAGCCGCCGCCGUAA
rnacentral:rRNA from 1 species